GACGAACGCCGGCGGCGUGCUUAACACAUGCAAGUCGAACGGUAAGGCCCUUCGGGGUACACGAGUGGCGAACGGGUGAGUAACACGUGGGUGAUCUGCCCUGCACUUUGGGAUAAGCCUGGGAAACUGGGUCUAAUACCGGAUAGGACCACGGCCUGCAUGGGUUGUGGUGGAAAGCUUUUGCGGUGUGGGAUGGGCCCGCGGCCUAUCAGCUUGUUGGUGGGGUGAUGGCCUACCAAGGCGACGACGGGUAGCCGGCCUGAGAGGGUGUCCGGCCACACUGGGACUGAGAUACGGCCCAGACUCCUACGGGAGGCAGCAGUGGGGAAUAUUGCACAAUGGGCGCAAGCCUGAUGCAGCGACGCCGCGUGGGGGAUGACGGCCUUCGGGUUGUAAACCUCUUUCACCAGGGACGAAGCGCAAGUGACGGUACCUGGAGAAGAAGCACCGGCCAACUACGUGCCAGCAGCCGCCGUAA
rnacentral:rRNA from 1 species